rnacentral:rRNA from 1 species
UACGUAGGGGGCAAGCGUUGUCCGGAUUUAUUGGGCGUAAAGAGCGUGUAGGCGGCUUUGCAGGUCCGCUGUGAAAACUCGAGGCUCAACCUCGAGCUGUCGGUGGAAACCGUAAAGCUAGAGUCCGGAAGAGGAGAGUGGAAUUCCCGGUGUAGCGGUGAAAUGCGCAGAUAUCGGGAAGAACACCCGUGGCGAAAGCGGCUUCCUGGUCCGACACCGACGUUCAGGCACGAAAGCGUGGGGAGCAAACAGG